rnacentral:rRNA from 1 species
AGAGCACAGGGUGGAUGCCUAGGCACUGAGAGCCGAUGAAGGACGUGAUAAGCUGCGAAAAGCCACGGGGAGGAGCAAAUAUCCUUUGAGCCGUGGAUAUCCGAAUGGGGGAACCCACUUAAGUAAACCUUAAGUACUGACAAGCCAAUACAUAACUUGCCAGAGGGAACCCGGGGAACUGAAACAUCUAAGUACCCGGAGGAAGAGAAAGAAACAUCGAUUUCCUUAGUAGCGGCGAGCGAAAGGGAAAGAGCCCAAACCGAGAGAUUUAUCUUUCGGGGUUAGGACUGCAUAAUUGAUCUGCGAUUGAUAGGAGAAUGGUCUGGGAAGUCCAGCAGGAAAGCGUGAAAGCCGCGUAUCCGAAAUUGAAAGCAGCAAGGCAGUAUCCAGAGUACCACGAGACACGAGGAACCUUGUGGGAAUGAGCGGAGACCACUCCGUAAGGCUAAAUACUACUCAGUGACCGAUAGCGCAUAGUACUGUGAAGGAAAGGUGAAAAGGACCCCGGGAGGGGAGUGAAAGAGAACCUGAAACCCUGUGUUUACAAGCUGUCGGAGCACGUUAGUGCGACGGCGUACUUUUUGUAGAACGGUCCGGCGAGUUAUGAUACGCGGUAAGGUUAAGGACUUAAGGUCCGGAGCCGAAGCGAAAGCGAGUGUUAAGAGCACGAGGAAUCACGUAUCAUAGACCCGAAACCGGGUGAUCUAUCCAUGUCCAGGAUGAAGCUGCCGUAAGAGGUAGUGGAGGUCCGAACACACAUCCGUUGAAAAGGGUGGUGAUGAGGUGUGGAUAGGGGAGAAAUUCCAAUCGAACCCGGAGAUAGCUGGUUCUCCUCGAAAUAGCUUUAGGGCUAGCCUCGUAUUAGUCUGGUGGAGGUAGAGCACUGAAUUUCCUAGGGGGCGUCAAAGCCUACCGAAGAAUAUCAAACUCCGAAUGCCAUACAGAUGAUGUACGGGAGUCAGACGGCACGAGAUAAGUUGGGUCGUCAAAAGGGAAAGAGCCCAGACCUGCAGCUAAGGUCCCAAAGUGUGUGUUAAGUGGAAAAGGAUGUGGGAUUUCGAAGACAACUAGGAUGUUGGCUCAGAAGCAGCCAUUCAUUCAAAGAGUGCGUAAUAGCUCACUAGUCGAGAGGUCCUGCGCCGAAAAUGUCCGGGGCUAAAACACACUGCCGAAGCUUUGGAAUUGAGAAUUCAAUUGGUAGAGGAGCAUUCUUAAAGGGACGAAGCAGUACCGUAAGGAGCUGUGGACUUUUAAGAAGAGAGAAUGCCGGAAUGAGUAGCGAGAGGAAGGUGGGAAUCCUUCCGGCCGAAUAUCUAAGGUUUCCAGAGUAAAGCUGAUCUGCUCUGGGUAAGUCGGGGCCUAAGGCGAGGUCGAAAGACGUAGUCGAUGGAUAACAGGUUGAAAUUCCUGUACUAUCCUGUAACAGAACUGUGGGGACACAGGCAGAGAGCGUGAGCCGGGAAUGGAAAGACCGGUACAAGCGAGGUAGGAGUCUGGUUGGCAAAUCCGCCAGGCAAUCUGAAGACGUGAUGUGGACUGAAAAUAAGUAGGGAAGCACGUGAGCUGACUGUCAAGAAAAGCCGCUAUUGUUUGCAGGAUACCCGUACCGUAAACCGACACAGGUGGAUGAGGAGAGAAUCCUAAGGCCGACGGGAGAAGCAUUGUUAAGGAACUCGGCAAAAUGACUCCGUAACUUCGGGAGAAGGAGUGCCAUGUAAAAGUGGCCGCAGAGAAUUGGCCCAAGCAACUGUUUAGCAAAAACACAGGUCUAUGCAAAACCGAAAGGUGAGGUAUAUGGGCUGACGCCUGCCCGGUGCUGGAAGGUUAAGGGGAGAGGUUAGCGCAAGCGAAGCUUUGAACUUAAGCCCCAGUAAACGGCGGCCGUAACUAUAACGGUCCUAAGGUAGCGAAAUUCCUUGUCGGGUAAGUUCCGACCCGCACGAAAGGCGUAAUGAUUUGGGCACUGUCUCAACAAUGCACCCGGUGAAAUUGAAAUACCAGUGAAGAUGCUGGUUACCUGCGCCAGGACGGAAAGACCCCAUGGAGCUUUACUCCAGCUUGAUACUGGGAUUCGGUAUUGCAUGUACAGGAUAGGUGGGAGGCUAAGAAGUGGUAACGCCAGUUGCCAUGGAGCCGCUGUUGGGAUACCACCCUUGCAGUACUGGGUUUCUAACCAGCAGCCGUGAUCCGGCUGGGGGACAAUGUCAGGUGGGGAGUUUGACUGGGGCGGUCGCCUCCGAAAGGGUAUCGGAGGCGCUCAAAGGU